ensembl:lncRNA LINC02234 long intergenic non-protein coding RNA 2234
GAAUUCUGGCUUGUAUAGAAAUUUCUACAAUAUCCAGAAGAGAGGAAAAGAUGAAGAAGAAGAAACGGAGUUCAGAUUUUAAAACAAUCUAUCACCUAUCUUUGACCAUAUGGACUAAAAUUGAUAUCCACCAAUAGACACUGAUGCCUGCAAGUCAACAGCAUAAAGAGUGGUAAAGUCAGUGCUGCAAAAGAUGAAAUGUUUUUAAUGUGCUCUGGAGGCUAACCAUCCAAGACCAAGAUGUCAGCAGGAUUGGUUCCUGAGGGCCUUGAGGAAGAAUCUGUUCCAGGACUUUCCCUUUGGCUUGCCAUUGGCCAUAUUCUCUCUGUGUCUUCUCACGUCUUCCCUCUGUAUUUGUUUCCAAAUUUCCUCUUCUUAUAAGGACAGUAGUCAUAUUGGAAAAAGGAACACCCUAAUAACCUAAUUUUAACUUGAUUACCUCUUUAAAGACCUUAUCUCCAAAUACCAUCACAUUCUGAACUAUUAAAGAUUAAUGCGUCAAUAUAUGAAUUUUGUGAGGGGCAGGGAGACAGAAUACAACCAACCCACAACACCCAGAUACAUAGCGAAAUCUUCUUCUUCUAGGCCCCCUGUGCCUGUGUCCACCACUUCAUCCCCCAAUUAGCUAUAUUUGAAAAAGUAAGAGGGAAAGAACAGUUGGAGGGGGAAGAGAGAGAGAAAGAAGACAGACAACUUAGAUUAUGUGCCCUAGAUGUUGGCCUUACAAAACGGGAGCAAAUCUUAACCAAUCAUUGUAGCAAAACCUUUUGUUUAUGAAGGAAGUUCCUUUUGUUUCUUUUCAGUCCACUCUACCUGCUAAUUAAAAUCAAUAAUAUGAGAUGCCGUGCUAUCUUUCCUACCUGAGCCACUUAUACUGUAUUGUCAGGUUUGGUUUAUUUCAUUUUCUGAGCUUAUUUGCCAGUUAAUCAUUUGUUUUUAUAUUACAAAGUGGCUCAUCUCUGCCUCAUUACACACUGAAAGUAAUGCCUGACAAGCGAUUGUCCAACGCUCACCAAACCGUGCUUGUGCAGGUUGGCAAAGGAUGCUCUCAGCAUAGACAGGCUGACUUACAUACAGCCAGCCUACCUUUCCUGUCUCACUAUCAGAUCUGUUCAUAGGUCCCGACACAGGGGAAAAAAAUCAGAAUGAUAUAUAGAAUUAAAGGAUAAUGGAACUGGAAUAAUGUUGAGCAUCUUAAUUAGAGACUUUGGGCAGGAUAUAAUCAUACAUGUGAGUUGAAUACGUAAUUAGAAGAUUAGAAUCUUUGAAAAAGAAGGAAGCGUUAGUAUUCUUUAGUUAGCAAAAUGCACUGUUUUAUAGAAUGUAAAACAAACAGCACCAAAGAAGACAAAGUUUUAUAAAAUGACUUUCCCAAGGUUUACUCAUUUCUUCAUAUAAGAGAAUGUGCUUCCAAUGUACUGUGAAGAUCUACAGCAUUAUUUACUGAUGUAAAAGAAAACAUUUUUCAUUAAUUAUUUUGCCCAUCUUCUGAGUCCUCCUGUAUUUCAUAUUGUACCAAGGUCUAUCAAUAAAUUGAUAAGCUCAGUGCAAACAGAAUAAAUGUGCUUUUAAGACAU